rnacentral:rRNA from 1 species
GAGGAAUAAGCAUCGGCUAACUCCGUGCCAGCAGCCGCGGUAAUACGGGGGAUGCAAGCGUUAUCCGGAAUCAUUGGGCGUAAAGCGCCUGUAGGUUGUUUAAUAAGUCUGUUGUUAAAGACUAGGGCUCAACCCUAGAAAAGCAAUGGAAACUGUUAGACUAGAGUAUGGCAGGGGUAGAGGGAAUUUCUAGUGUAGCGGUGAAAUGCGUAGAUAUUAGAAAGAACACCAGUGGCGAAAGCGCUCUACUGGACCAUUACUGACACUCAGAGGCGAAAGCUAGGGUAGCAAAAGGGAUUAGAUACCCCUGUAGUCCUAGCCGUAAACGAUGGAUACUAGAUGUUGUAUUUAUUUUACAGUAUCGUAGCUAACGCGUUAAGUAUCCCGCCUGGGGAGUACGCUCGCAAGGGUGAAACUCAAAGGAAUUGACGGGGGCCCGCACAAGCGGUGGAGCAUGUGGUUUAAUUCGAUGCAACGCGAAGAACCUUACCAGGGCUUGACAUACUGCGAAUCUCCUUGAAAGAGGAGAGUGCCUUCGGGAAUGCAGAUACAGGUGGUGCAUGGCUGUCGUCAGCUCGUGUCGUGAGAUGUUGGGUUAAGUCCCGCAACGAGCGCAACCCUUGUUUUUAGUUACCAAUUCGUUGGGCUUUCUAGAAAGACUGCCGGUGACAAACCGGAGGAAGGUGAGGAUGACGUCAAGUCAGCAUGCCCCUUAUGUCCUGGGCUACACACGUGCUACAAUGGUUAGGACAAAGAGUCGCAAGUUUGCGAAAACAAGCUAAUCUCAUAAACCUAGCCUAAGUUCAGAUUGUAGGCUGCAACUCGCCUGCAUGAAG